GUAUUGCUUUUGACUUUGGAAUGAAAUAGGUAACUUAUCUCACAAAAUGUAUUUUUUUGUAACUUGGCCCUGUGCCUUUAACUCUAAGUAAAUGCACUUAAAUGAAAUCUUUAGGUUACGUUCCUUGACAGUUUAAGGCAGGGCAUUGACAUCUGCUAUUUUUAUUUAAUAUCUACAUUGGUCAUUUCAUCGGAUAAUCACGUUUCCUUAGAAACUAUGUGUCACACCCUGGUCAAAGUAUUUUGUGUUUAUCUUUAUUUAUUUGGUCAGGCCAGGGUGUGGCAUGGGUUUUUGUAUGUGGUGUGUUUGUAUGGGGAUUGUAGCUAGUGGGGUGUUCUAGCUAAGUCUAUGGCUGUCUGAAGUGGUUCUCAAUCAGAGGCAGGUGUUUAUCGUUGUCUCUGAUUGGGAACCAUAUUUAGGCAGCCAUAUUCUUUGAGUUUGUCGUGGGUGAUUGUCCUUAGUGUCCUGAUGUCAUUGUUCUGUGUUAGGAUACACAAGUAUAGGCUGUUUCGGGUUUUGUUAAGUUUAUUGUUUUGGUAGUGUUUGUGUUUAGUGUGUUAUUUCAUUAAACAUGGAUUGCAAUAGACACGCCGCAUUUUGGUCCGACUCUCCUUCUCAUACAGAAAACCGUUACAGAAUCACCCACCACCAACGGACCAAGCAGCGUGUCAACAGGCAGGAACAGCCCAAAGUGGAGUACAGUAUGGACUAUACUUCUUGGGAGGAGAUAGACAGGUGGGCGGUCGACCCAGGGAGAGUGCCGGAGCCCGCCUGGGAUUCGAUGGAGCAGUGCGCGGAAGGAUAUAGGAGAAUGGAGUUUGCGAAGCAAGCAAGGCGGCGCGGACGGAGGCCCCAUAGUCAGCCCCAAAAAUUUCUUGGGGGGGGGCUCAGGGAGAGUGUGGCAGAGUCAGGAGCCAGACCUGAGCCAACUCUCCCUGUUUAUCGUGAGGAGCCAAGGAGGAGACCAGAACCAGAGCCGGUGUUGGAGGUGAGCGAAACAGAGACUGUGAAGGAGUUAAUGGGGAAAUUGGAGGAGAGAGAAAUGAGGGAGUUGCUGUGUUGGUGUUUUAAACAUGGAAUUCGCCCGACGGAGCGUGUCGGGGAUUUGAUGGCACCUGGGUCAGCGCUCCAUACUCGUCCUGAGGUGCGUGUUAGUCGGCUGGUGAAGAUGGUGCCAGUCUCACGUACCAGGCCUCCUGUGCACCUCCCUAGCCUUGCACGUCCUGUGCCAGCACCGCUCUCAAGAUCUCCAGUACGCCUUCACGGUCUAACCCAUCCUGUGCCACCUCCACACCCCAGCCCUCCGGUAGCAGCUCCCCGCACCAGGCUUCCUGUGCGUGUCCUCGGCCCAGUACCACCAGUGCCAGCACCACGCAUCAGGCCUACAGUGCGCCUCGCCUGUCCAGCGCUGUCGGAGCCCUCCUCCUCUCCAGCGCUGUCGGAGUCUCCCGCCUGUUUAGCGCUGUUAGAGCCUUCCUUCUCUACAGCGCUGCCGGAGUCUCCCGCCUGUUCAGAACUGCCAGUUAGCAUAGAGCUGCCAGUUAGCAUAGAGCUGCCAGUUAGCAUAGAGCUGCCAGUUAGCAUAGAGCUGCCAGUUAGCAUAGAGCUGCCAGUUAGCAUAGAGCUGCCAGUUAGCAUAGAGCUGCCAGUUAGCAAGGAGCUGCCAGUCUGCAAGGAGCUGCCAGUCUGCAUAGAGCUGCCAGUCUGCAAGGAGCUGCCAGUCUGCAAGGAGCCGCCAGAGCUGCAUGUCUGCAGGAUGCCACCAAAGCUGCCAGCCUGCAAGGAGCCGCCAGAGCUGCCAGUCUGCAAGGAGCCGCCAGAGCUGCCAGAUAGCAUGGAGCAGCCAGGGCCGCCAGUCAGCAUGGAGCAGCCAGGGCCGCCAGUCAGCAUGGAGCAGCCAGGGCCGCCAGUCAGCAUGGAGCAGCCAGAGCAGCCAGGGCCGCCAGUCAGCAUGGAGCAGCCAGAGCAGCCAGGGCCGCCAGUCAGCAUGGAGCAGCCAGAGCUGCCAGUCAGCAUGGAGCAGCCAGAGCAGUCUGCCAGCAUGGAGCAGCCAGAGCUGCCAGUCAGCAAGGAGCAGCCAGAGCAGCCAGUCUGUGUCGACCAGACUCUUCCAGAUCUGCCAGUCGUCCAGACUCUUCCAGAUCUGCCAGUCGACCAGACUCUUCCAGAUCUGCCAGUCGUCCAGACUCUCCCAGAUCUGCCAGUCGUCCAGAUUCUCCCAGAUCCGCCAGUCGACCAGAUUCUCCCAGAUCUGCCAGUCGACCAGACUCUCCCAGAUCUGCCAGUCGACCAGACUCUCCCAGAUCUGCCAGUCGACCAGACUCUUCCAGAUCUGCCAGUCGACCAGACUCUUCCAGAUCUGCCAGUCGACCAGACUCUUCCAGAUCUGCCAGUCGACCAGGAUCUGCCAGCCAGCCAGGAUCUGGUAGAUUUGUCAACCUGCCUGAGCUUCCUCUCACUCCUGAGCUUCCUCUCACUCCUGAGCUUCCUCUCACUCCUGAGCUUCCCCUCAGUCCCGAGCUGCCUCAGUCCCGAGCUGCCCCUCAGUCCCGAUCUGCUCCUCAGUCCAGUGGGGUUCUGGGUGAGGACUACUAGGCCAUGGUCGGCGGCGAGGGUGGACUAUCCAGGGACGCGAGGAGAAGGGACUAAGACAUUGAUUGAGUGGGGUCCACGUCCCGCGCCGGAGCCGCCACCAUGGACAGACGCCCACCCGGACCCUCCCUAUUGUUUUGAGGUGCGUUCGGGAGUCCGCACCUUAGGGGGGGGGUUCUGUCACACCCUGGUCAAAGUAUUUUGUGUUUAUCUUUAUUUAUUUGGUCAGGCCAGGGUGUGGCAUGGGUUUUUGUAUGUGGUGUGUUUGUAUGGGGAUUGUAGCUAGUGGGGUGUUCUAGCUAAGUCUAUGGCUGUCUGAAGUGGUUCUCAAUCAGAGGCAGGUGUUUAUCGUUGUCUCUGAUUGGGAACCAUAUUUAGGCAGCCAUAUUCUUUGAGUUUGUCGUGGGUGAUUGUCCUUAGUGUCCUGAUGUCAUUGUUCUGUGUUAGGAUACACAAGUAUAGGCUGUUUCGGGUUUUGUUAAGUUUAUUGUUUUGGUAGUGUUUGUGUUUAGUGUGUUAUUUCAUUAAACAUGGAUUGCAAUAGACACGCCGCAUUUUGGUCCGACUCUCCUUCUCAUACAGAAAACCGUUACACUAUGUGUGAAGGAGAGCCUUCACUAUGGACUAAAUGACUAUUGUUAAAUAUAUGGAUUCAAAGUAUUUAUUGCCAUUUUAAACUAUAAAUUAUUGUGAUGCAGUGUUUUUUUUCUGCAUUGAUUUAUUUAAUCCAUAACCUGCGCUUCUAAUCAUCUCCAAACAUGUCCUGUUGUAGUGCAUUGCUCAUUGUAUUGCCUAAUUUGGUGGGAGGGGCUUAUC
rnacentral:lncRNA from 1 species